rnacentral:tRNA from 1 species
AGAGUCAUGGCCGAGUGGUUAAGGCAUUGGGCUAGAAAUCUGUUGGGGGUCUUCCCCAUGCAGGUUUGAAUCCUGCUGACUAUG